rnacentral:rRNA from 1 species
CCUACGGGAGGCAGCAGUGAGGAAUAUUGGUCAAUGGCCGCAAGGCUGAACCAGCCAAGCCGCGUGAGGGAUGAAGGUCCUAUGGAUUGUAAACCUCUUUUGUCAGGGAGCAAAGGGCGCCACGUGAGGCGUUUUGCGAGUACCUGAAGAAAAAGCAUCGGCUAACUCCGUGCCAGCAGCCGCGGUAAUACGGAGGAUGCGAGCGUUAUCCGGAUUUAUUGGGUUUAAAGGGUGCGCAGGCGGAAUGUCAAGUCAGCGGUAAAAUGUCGGGGCUCAACCCCGUCGUGCCGUUGAAACUGGCGGUCUUGAGUGGGCGAGAGGUAUGCGGAAGGAGUGGUGUAGCGGUGAAAUGCGUAGAU